GCUCCAGUGGCGCAAUUGGUCAGCGCGCAGUUCUCAUAAUGCUGCGGUUGUGAGUUCAAGCCUCACCUGGAGCA